CCCCGCCCCGCGCACCUGCCCGGGCCCGGCAGCGCCGGCAGCGCGGCCCACCGGUACCGAGCGCCGCUCGCACCGACACCGGGAGGCAAUGGGAAUUCCAGUGGCGAUGGGGACGGCAGGAGCAGGGUGAGAGAGCAAACAAGCCAGGGGAGCUCUGAGGCACGUCCAAUCCUUCGAAUCCAGCACCCGCCCACAGUUGCGAUCCACUAUCUGCACGCUUUUCCUUGUGUUAAGGAGCUGGCGACUUCCGGGAGGGGGGAGAUCUCUGUGACCUGCCCUUCGACAGAGCAAUCAGGAGGAACCCUCAUCGUGACUUGCCAAAGCCUUGCAGUGCAUGAGGAUGAGGAGGGAAGUUUGGCCAGUGUGAGCACUGACAGUAAAUACUUUGGGGUGAUGCUCCAAGGAGCUGUGAAGGGUGCAGUGAAAGGACUGAGCUCCACGUGCAAGGAGCCAAGCAAACCUGACAGCUUCACAUGCUCAAAAACCGUGCAUGUCUAAAAGAUGAAGUAAAAUGUUGUAAAGAUCACAAGCCUUUUCCUACAGUUAUUUGUACCAGCAAAUCACUGUUGCAAAUGGAAAAUGAGUUUCUGUGGCGCCUGUGACCAGAAAAUUGCCCCUUUGAGAAUCCAUGAGCAAUGGUUCAGCAUGCAUGCUGAGAAGAUUAGGAUCAACAGAUUAUUCCAACAGAGCAUGUCAGUCAGUCUAAAACACGCAAUGGAUGAAAUUACCUCCACAACUGAAGACAAGGAAGAAAAAUACCCACUGCUGUGGACCCCAAAGAAAGUGAAGUAUACACAAAAGUAAACACACCCAGUGCAUGUUGGGGAAAGCAAAGACACCACAUAAGGAUGUACAUUUCUUCAGGGCUACAAGAUCAAACAUGACAAUUGUGGUAAUUUGUCUUCCUGGCCAGCACAUGACCCCACGGUAGUACACAGACUCAGCAUCAUGAUCCUCAAAUAGUUCAUCAUUUUUGGCUGAACUAAAGUGCAUCCUUGAAAAAGAUCUAGUCUUUUUUAGCAAAAGAGACAAAAAUGGUGACACAAAGUCAAAUCAUAAGCAUACAUAACUGAUUUACUCUCUCCCUGACACUGGCCAACACUGUCUGCCUAGAAAAAGAAUCACAAAAAUAGGGUAGACGAAGAGUGCUCCCUCCCUGGCAGCUCCCUAGCUCUUACAGAUUUGUAAUUCAGAGACCUGCUGUGCCAGAGAUUUUGGCUUGUGUUUAGCAGCCUUUGAUAGAUUUCUCUUUUGCAAAUUUCAUCCCCUAUAUAGUCAUGAAAUUUAAGGCCAUGAAGGAUUUAUUCCUGAAGGACUUACAUUUGACAAGUAAUUUCACACUUGCCUCCAAUGUGUCUCUUGGUUACACAAACCAAAUAAAUUGUAGCACACUGGAAAAGUUACCACUUUCCACUAGCUACUCACUUUCAGCACUGAAAGGACAUGCCUGUUUUCCUUUGGAAAGGAAAGUUAGUCUGUGGCAGUCAUGCCUUACCCCUGGACAACUAAAGAAUGCUUUAGUAUCCAGUGUUUUCAUUUAGUACAUGUACUCAGACACCCUAAUUAGAUCACUCACAACCUUCUAAGAGUUCACAGAAUCAUAGGAAGGUUUGGGUUGGGAGAGACUUUUAAAGGCCAUCUAGCCCUACCCUGCCAUGGACAGGGACACCUCCAACUCAUAGUAAGGUGAAUAAGGUCACUCCAAGUCCCAUUCAACCUGGCCUUGGAGACUUCCAUGGAUGAGGUUCUUUGCACAACCUGCACCAGUGCUUUUCCAGCCUCAUUUUAAAAAUGGUCUCUCUUGCAUCUAGUCUGCAUCUACCCUCUUUUAGUUUAAAACAAAUAAACCAAAUUUAAGUCCAUUACCCCUUGUCUUACAACUAUGAGAGUUCUGCAUCUCACAUUGUAAAAUACUUCUUACAGUCUUCAGACAAGUUUUGUGAACCUCAAAUGUUACUCUUCUUUUCCCUGUUUCCUAGAAGCUUUAAAACUAGCUGUGUGCUAUGCCACCAGGGCCCUUCUUGCUGUCUCACAUCAACAGCAUCUGUUUCCCCAAGAUUGUCUACCUGUAAAGAUUUAUUAUUUCAUGUCCUAAAUCUAUACAGGGCUGGGACAGAGCCUGGAUUUUAGAGUCUAAAACAGUGGGUCCAAGAAAAAUGAAGCCGCUUGCACUUUAAUACACUCAAUUUCUUUAGACUUACUCUUUUUUAACAUGCAGUCCUCUGGAGGAGUGAUACACCAUCUUCCGCAUGCACAAAAGUGCAUUUGACUGUUCUAACACACAAGUCUGUGUGAAGAACCUUGCUCUGCUACACACUCUUCUUCACUAUUAUCUUCUCUUCAUGACUUUUUUGCAUAUUUUUAUGUAAUCUGCCAAUUUUAUUUGUAGAGAUCUUAUAUUUGUUUCCAAAUAAUCAAUUAAGUGUCAAACAACACUGGGUAGAGAACUCUCCCUCAGGUAAAAACCAGAAUUCCCAGCUUAUGGAUUGGGCAGUUUGCUGGCAGUAUUUCCUGCCUUUCCUUUCCCAUGGAGCUGGAUUGUAAAAACUAGAAGAAUCAGCUUCCAGCUUCCCUCAGCCUUCUCCCAAGAUACAAGAUGCUCUCAAGAAUUUAAGUUCUGUGUAGUGCUGCAUCAUCACCUGACAUGCCCUGACACAGGCAGGGACUUGCCAACAAGUUGGCAACAACAUUCCUGGCUUUUGGGUUACAUCCAUCAAAUCUCACUAUCCAGUUUCCCAUUAAUCUUUUUCUUCUCUAAUGAGAACUCUCUAAUUAUUCUUGCUUGCCCUGUGUCAUUUCAAACCCUCUCCUUUAGCAGCUUGUUUUACAUCCCAGACAUCCCCACCUGUCACAUCCCCUGCAGCUCUCUGUCAGCAAUUCCCGACAGCCAGUUCCUGCAUCUCCCCCAGAUCAAUGCUCAGCUCUGGCAUGACACCCACUCUGUCCCUGUGCAGAUCUGCUGCUUACUCAGCUUCUUGCAGCACCCAGUGUCCACAGACACUGCCAGUGCUUCCAGAUGUGACGUAGAACAAUGACCCAAGGAAUUCUUUGGAUAUUACACUGUACUGAAACCAGCAAUUACAAGCUCUGCAUCCUUGCUGACACGAGGAUGUUAUUUUUCAUGCCGUGGUACCUGAUCCCACCUGGCUGCAUCCCAAGGAGUCGUGAACCUGAGCUCACACUGGCCUGUGCUGCCCACAGGGCAACAGUCAGACCUAGGUUUGCUGCACAAAUCCCUUGCCCACCAGUCCCAGCCAGCUCACCAUACAGAAAUGUGGGCAGCUCUUGGUCUUGUCCAGCCAUUCUGCCACUCACAUGGCCUGGCUUUUGUCUAACAGUGAGGCACGAAUUUCCAAUGCAAACAUCCUUUCUGUCUGACAGCAGCAAUGAUGAAUGGAGUUGUUUUCUUGCACUCUUAUCAUGGCUCUAAUGGCAAAAAAAGGGAGAACCAGCACUGCAGGUGGUGUCUGCAGGGCAUGCUGGGUGUGGAUCAGAGGCCCACUUGGGGUUCCUCACAUCUAAAUGAUAUGAGAUGAUGUACACUAUUCUAUCGUGUUAGUUCUAACACUUUAUAUUUUAAAUUGCACCCUACACAGCCUGAGUCUCUUUCCUACUUGGAUCAUAUUGUGCAGAACAACCUGCAUAAUAAAUAAUAAAUGGUUUCCCAGGUAAUUGCCCUUGUCCUCAUUCUGUGAACAUGUGCUUAGGUGUUGUAUAUAAGUAAAGCUUUAAAAAACAAGGGCCUUGUUAACCCUGUAAAAUCAUGUCUCAGGCCUGCUACUUUGGCUAAGUAGAAGAGGACUAUAGGAAAGUGACUCAUCUGAACUGGAGAUAGAAAAACAAGUUGUAUAACCAUUACAUGUUCACAUCAUGGUGUAACGGUGGUUAGUUGAAUUACAUUUGUUAGGCUAAAAUGGACUGUAACUGAUCAGAGCCUAACUGCUUAAAAAGGCCUGUUUUUUGCAAUAAAGGGCUCUCCUUUGCACUGGGGACUGCAUUGCUCUGCUUCGUACAUUUAGCAAUAAACACACAUCCCCACAAGGCAUGAGGGAUCUGUGUUCUUCCCAUGUAAGUGUAACUGAGACAUGCCUUACUUGUUAAAUAAGCAAAUCUGGGAUUUCUAUCCAAGUUGAACCAAUGUUCCUGACUUUGAAUACUUCUUGUAAGCUUUUCUAAGUUUAGGCCUCUCUUUUGAUGCCAACACCAGACCUUCAGCUUGCUCACCUCAUGAGAUGAAUGUAGCAAAUACAACCUCUCUCCUUCAGCAGUGACGAACAGGGUCAGUCACUCUUGCCGGCUUAUCACAUAAAUUCACAAGUUCAUAUCAGGGUUUUGGGCUUUGAUUUCUGGGAUGUUGGCUAGAGAGAUGAUGCU